CUAGAGUCUUUCAUAGCCCCUGGCGAGAAACAGGCACUUCCACACUGUGCAUCAUCUUCUUCCAGGGCAUAAUGGAAGUGGGUCAAAUGAAUCACACGCUGGAAAUGCCAGUUUUUCUCCGUGGGAUUCAGAUGUAGGCAUGAACCAAGCUGGAAAGAUACCCCAUUGAAGAUUAAAUUCUUACUUAUGCCAUAAAACGCCAACCUAUGAAAGUGACGUGCUACUGAGGCCAUAAGAGUGACAGGAACUGGAAAAGCACUGGAAAACUUUGACUGGUGUACAUUCAAGGGAAGCUACUCUUUGCCAAUUAUAUUUUCAAUGGGUACAGCAAGUCAACUAAAGACCUUCAAAAAUAAAUAGCUAUGACAAGAAGUGAUUAUCGCGUGGGUUACUGUCUGCCAGAUGAUUUCAGGUUCAGAUAUCUAAAGAAUAACCAGGGAAUGUAUCAGCUUUCCCAUUGAACCAAGGCUCUCUGACCCAACUCUAUGUGAAGAUACACCUAGUAGGUGACACAGCUGAAAGUUCAGAUACAGCUACUGGCAGGGCAUGAGAAUGUAAGUGGUGAAAUAUCCUCUCAACAGUGCUUGAAAGAGUUCUACUGUUAAAUAACAUCUUUUAAAUUGUAGCUAGUACCUUGGAAACAGACAUCUUCAGUAGAAUCAAUUAUGAAGAGAACAGGCAUGAAUUACUUGCACUGUCCAUAGGUAUCUACUUUUUUGUUUCUAAUCUGGAUAGAAACUGACAAUUCAGAGAGCUUGACUUAGAAGCCUUCUUCCCACAGGCAUGUUCUCCUAAUUCACGUGU